rnacentral:rRNA from 1 species
UACGUAGGGUGCAAGCGUUGUCCGGAAUUAUUGGGCGUAAAGAGCUCGUAGGCGGUUUGUUGCGUCGGCUGUGAAAUCCCCGAGGCUCAACCCCCGGGCCUGCAUUCGAUACGGGCAGACUAGAGUUCGGUAGGGGAGUCUGGAAUUCCUGGUGUAGCGGUGAAAUGCGCAGAUAUCAGGAGGAACACCGGUGGCGAAGGCGGGACUCUGGGCCGAUACUGACGCUGAGGAGCGAAAGCGUGGGGGAGCAAACAGG